CCUACGGGAGGCAGCAGUGAGGAAUAUUGGUCAAUGGACGCAAGUCUGAACCAGCCAUGCCGCGUGCAGGAAGACUGCUCUAUGAGUUGUAAACUUCUUUUGUACGAGGGUAAACUCAGAUACGUGUAUCUGUCUGAAAGUAUCUUACGAAUAAGGAUCGGCUAACUCCGUGCCAGCAGCCGCGGUAAUACGGAGGAUUCAAGCGUUAUCCGGAUUUAUUGGGUUUAAAGGGUGCGUAGGCGGUCGGAUAAGUUAGAGGUGAAAUCCCGAGGCUCAACUUCGGAAUUGCCUCUGAUACUGUUAGGCUAGAGUGUAGUUGAGGUAGGCGGAAUGCAUGGUGUAGCGGUGAAAUGCUUAGAGAUCAUACAGAACACCGAUUGCGAAGGCAGCCUACCAAGCUACUUCUGACGUUGAGGCACGAAAGUGUGGGGAGCAAACAGGAUUAGAUACCCGUGUAGUC
rnacentral:rRNA from 1 species